UGCGAGGUUGGUUUAGUUAAGUCAGAUGUAGAAACGGCCCGGGGCUACAACCGUACGGUAAUUGCUAUUUAGAAACGUGGACAAACUAGAGUACUGUAGAGGGGGUAGAAUUUCAGGUGUAGCGGUGAAAUGCGUAGAGAUCUGAAGGAAUACCGGUGGCGAAGGCGGCCCCCUGGACAGAUACUGACACUCAGAUGCGAAAGCGUGGGGAGCAAACAGGAUUAGAUACCCUGGUAG
rnacentral:rRNA from 1 species